UACGGGGGGAGCAAGCGUUGUUCGGAUUUACUGGGCGUAAAGGGCGCGUAGGCGGCGUGACAAGUCACUUGUGAAAUCUCCGGGCUUAACUCGGAACGGUCAAGUGAUACUGUCGGACUAGAGUACAGAAGGGGCAACUGGAAUUCUCGGUGUAGCGGUGAAAUGCGUAGAUAUCGGGAGGAACACCAGUGGCGAAGGCGACUACCUGGCCUGUUCUUGACGCUGAGGCGCGAAAGCUAGGGGAGCAAACGGG
rnacentral:rRNA from 1 species